UACAGAGGGUGCGAGCGUUAAUCGGAUUUAUUGGGCGUAAAGCGUGCGUAGGCGGCUAAUUAAGUCGGAUGUGAAAUCCCUGAGCUUAACUUAAGAAGUGCAUUCGAUACUGGUCAGCUAGAGUAUGGGAGAGGAUGAUAGAAUUCCAGGUGUAGCGGUGAAAUGCGUAGAGAUCUGGAGGAAUACCGAUGGCGAAGGCAGCCAUCUGGCCUAAUACUGACGCUGAGGUACGAAAGCAUGGGGAGCGAACAGG
rnacentral:rRNA from 1 species